GCCCUGGUAGCACAAUGGUUAAGCACUUGGCUGCUAAACAAAAGUUCUGUGGUUAGAACCCACCAGGGGCU
rnacentral:tRNA from 1 species